UUUGUAGAAACUAUUUCAAUCGGGCAAUCUCAUCUGCAUCAUUACUAAUGAUUACAAUAUCAUCUACAUAAAUUACAAGGGUAACAUAGCCUGCAUUAGUUCGAAGAUGAAAUAUUAAAUGAUCUGUCUAACACUUCUAAAGACCAAAUUUUAGAACCUCGAGAAACUUCCCAAACCAUGUCCUAAGUGAUUGCUUUAAUCCAUAUAAAGACUUUUUCAACUUACAUAGUUCUGAUACUCUCCAUGAGCGACAAACGUAGGAGGUUGCUCCUACAAACCUCUUCGUGUAAUUCACCACGAGGGAAAUUAUUUUUAAUAUCUAAUUAAAACAGUGGCCAACCAAUGGAAACCAAAACACGAAUAGAGAUCUUAGCAACUAGAGAGAACAUUUCACCAUAAUCAAUGUCAUAGGUCUCUAUGUAACCUUUAGCAAUCAGUCGAGUUUUCAAUAGAUCAAUAGUCUCAUCAGGAUUGAAUUUUGAAACAUAGACCCAUCUAUUACCAACAGAUGUAUUCCAAAUGAUGAAGGAACAAGGUCUUGUCUUAUUCUCGUGCAAAGCUAUCAUUUCUAAUUCCAUAGCCUUUCGUCACUUGGGAUCAUAUAAAACUUCUGUCAAUGUAGGGAUGAGAAACAUGAAAACGAAGGUGACAAUGAAUAAAAAAUGACAUAGUGAUUUAUAGAAUGUUUAGUUACACAAGUAUGUGUAACCUUUACGGUGGGCAAUGGCAAUGACUCACAAUCAGGAUAGAUGACGAAUGUACGAUCUGUAGACAGUGA
rnacentral:lncRNA from 1 species